GCACCAUCUUUUAAACUAUGUUUGAAUUUAUCUUUUUUAGAAUUUCCAGGAUCGAUGCUUACCAUAUCAUUUGUGCCAUUACCUUGCAUCAACUAUAAUCAAGAUACCCCUCAUUCACCAUGUAUUUGGCCUCAUGUUUGUGCUAAAUUUAUUUUAUCAGACGAUGGAUGCAAAGACACGUGCACCAAACAUCACGUGCUCAACAAAGAAUCCUUAGAAAAACUUAAAAAAUGUGGAUUUCCGGUUGAGAAACAGUACUCUCGUCUGUCAAAACUUUAUAAGGAAAAGUGUAGUAAAUGGCUCAAAGAUUUUCCUUCUAAAACUAUAUCAGGACCGUGCUACUAUUAUAAUGACAAAGGAUGUUUUGUAGCAGACGACGCAUGCCCGUUCCCUCACAUUUGUAAAGACUGGUUUGCCGGGAAAUGUGCGCGUUCGAAUUGUAAAUUCUCUCAUGAUAUUCUUAACCAACAGACAAAAUUGUUAUUGCAAAAAUUCGGAUUUAAUAUUGACCAUCCCGAUGAUAUUAUAUUAUGGCAGUAUCGAGAAAAAUGUCAAAAUUAUUUGGAAUUGAAAACAAAACAAAAUAUAAGUGACGUCGUGAAUUCCCGUACUAGCGGCGAGGAUUCGAAAACUACAGCGGGUAAAUGUGUUAUAUAUUUAGCUUUUGUGGCUAUGUCCUUAAAUUGUCUGUUUAACAUUUUUAAUAAAUAUGUCUUAACAUAUUUCUAGAAUGUCUG
rnacentral:lncRNA from 1 species